UACAAAUUUGCUUUUUCACAGCUGGAAAGGUCAAUCCAUGCUGGCUCUCACCUAUGAUUAUCACAACUGCUGUUUGAGGGAAUUCUGAACUGAGCCACAUUCAUUACCAUUUCCCUCAUGUGGAAAUCAACAAGCCUGAAGAGACACUCUUGUUUGUGUAGAGAAUUGUCAUUCAAGCAAGGAUGCUAGAAAAUCAGAGGUUGUAGUUGUGUGGCAUGUCUCCAUGUGACAAGAUCUCCUUGACAGACUUAUCAUUUUUCAUGGAAGUGGUGGAACUGGCACAAUUCUCAUCACAUGUUCAUUCACACUAGAAUUUGUAGUGCAAGAUUUCCAGGAUCUGUCACAAUAUUGCUUUCCAUGGUGUCCAAAACAGGAAGCUGACCUGAUCUACAAACCAGGAUAUGAAACCUGGAGCCAUGAAGUCAUCAAACAAUUGCUUCGUCUGGUUUGAAACCAGAAUGAGGGCCCAACUGAUGCAGAGCCAACUGCUGGGUCUGCUGUUUCUCCUCAUUAUUGUGACAAAUUUAUCUAUAACUCUUAGCAAGUGCAAUAAAAAGAGAAAAACAGUCUUCAUUCACCUUGUGCUCUCUUUUGGCGGUUGGUGCUGAGAAACAAUAGUGAUAGCAGCAAGGAGAAUAUGGGCUUAGGACAUUGAAACCAUCAUGCCAAGGGUCAGCCAAAGUAGAAAGCCCUCCAUAUUUAUCCCAUACACAUGUUCAAAAGCAAGCUUGAAUAUCUGUCCCAUUCAGCACAAACCUUUCUGAAAGAUUCAAGCAUACAGAUCAGUGAGCUUUCUGGAUUUUGUUGGACAACAUUUGAAUAUCGGGACUUGCAAUUUAGCAACAUGUGGAGUUCUACACUUUGCUCAUUACCUACUAUAUAGAGAAGUUUUCAGGUUGCCUUACUAUGGAUUAUCUUGCCUUAUUGUAUCCUCAGAGACUCUUCUCAAGUCAGUUAUAACCCCUUAACUGAGAGUUGCUAAUGUGGGAUCAAUGGGUGUCUGUUCUCCUAUCAAUCAGAAAGCAAAUGUCACAUAAGACAUCAUUCACAGAAGAGGAUGGAACCAUCAUCUACAUCCUGAUAAAAGGAAAGAGAUCCCUGUCAAUUGCAGUAGCUCCAGAAGGGAGAGUGGACCAGGAGAUACUGCAUUGUAAUAUACCUGUUAUAUACAUAUUUCUGGAUUAUUACAAUUUCAACUAUAUUUUGGCAAUAGACAUGAUAUUUAACAUGAGUCAAUCCGGGUUUUUGUUCUGCUCUGAUUAUUUUAUUGGCUUUUAAAUUAAACAUAGCUUUAAAAACUCA